UACGUAGGGUGCAAGCGUUAAUCGGAAUUACUGGGCGUAAAGCGUGCGUAGGCGGUUCGUUAAGUUCGUUGUGAAAGCCCCGGGCUCAACCUGGGAACUGCAAUGGAAACUGGCGGGCUUGAGUGUGGCAGAGGGGGGUGGAAUUCCGCGUGUAGCAGUGAAAUGCGUAGAGAUGCGGAGGAACACCGAUGGCGAAGGCAGCCCCCUGGGCCAACACUGACGCUCAGGCACGAAAGCGUGGGGAGCAAACAGG
rnacentral:rRNA from 1 species